rnacentral:tRNA from 1 species
GCGCUCGUAGCUCAGUUGGAUAGAGCGACGGACUUCGGAUCCGUAGGCCGUGGGUUCGAAUCCUGCCGGGCGCGCCA